UGAGGAGCUGACCUGAAUGACCAUCAUGGCCUCGAUCCGUUGUGCCUCUAUAUUCUUUGCAAAAUGCAAUGAAUAUUUACAGAGUUGACCAUGGCCGUUUGAGAAUCAGAGGGAUGGAAAGGCAAUGAAGUGACUUGGCCUACAGGUCUUUUGUGAGCAGGAGCUGGGGUUUCCUUAGAAGAAGCGUCCGUGUCAUGAUCCCCUCGUGUGUGGUGCUACGCAUAUGGAGGGAGCUUCCGGAUACUUCAGGGCGGUACGUUGGAUUCAGACCCCUUUUUGACUGAACCAUGACACAUGUUCAGCAACAGCAUCCUCCAUGGAAGGUCUGUCAAGCUGAGCGCACAAGUCCUGGGGCACAGGAAUCCGCUGGACGGCAUCCCAAUAAGGAAGAGGGUCUUUGAUGAUCUCGAAGAGGACAAGAAAGAGGACUUAUAUUGGAUACUGUAAUACAGUGCAUUGUAGGCUGUAUACUGUACAAUAAACAAAUUGUAUGGCCCUGAA